AUACAAAGAAUAUAAAACGUGCACUGCCAAGAACGGACUUAAAACAAGCCAGGAAGAAACACCUAGAUUUUUAAAAGUGUAAAUGUAAGUUCAUGCUCGGUUGUCAAUUUUGGUUACUUUCAGCUGGUUUCGUCGGGAGCGCAUGUCGCAACCUAAGCUUCCCCGUCAAGUCCAGGCACUGGCCGCGGUCGCCUAGGCUGGCUGGGUGGCACUUGCAGGGGGCGGGCCUUGCUCCGCGGCGGCCGCGGCCGAGCUGGCGCUAUGAGUUUCCUGAGUGUUACCCCCGGGCGAACUCUGAGGUCUGCCCACUCGGCCUGCGCUGUGGCCGUGGCGCGGGGCGCCCCUCGGCUUCUCGCGUCCUGCAGGAGGAGCGGCGCCACCACCCGCGCCUGCCGAGUCUUCACCGCCCGGCCUCCUCCUCCUCGCGGAGCGCGGCAGACUCUGGCGCCGGCAGAGAGGCGCGGCCGUCGCUGCGUCCAGCCAGUUCCCGUUCCGGGCCCGCGCGGUGCCAGCGCCUUCCCGGCCCACGAGCUUCCUGGCGCACCUGGCUCCUGCUUUUGCUUCCAGAUGCUCCGAGUCCUGCAAACCUAGGGCCAAUGACUGCCCUUCCCGCAGCGCCUGCUUCCUUCUGAUCAGAGCAUCUUUCCUGAAUCUUCUCUUCAAGGCUUGGCAGACUUUUUAUUUUCUUAGAAGCUCAAAUUGCAAGGGGCUCACUGAGAGGAGGGGCCCUGGAGCCUUAUCAUUCUUCUGCCAGGAAGACACACAUAGCCGAAGAUGAGUUUGGGGAAAGCAACUGCUUGCUACCUGAGCUAUGGAAAAGCAGAGCCAUCGUGAGAUGGAAGGUGGCCCACCCGGGUCUCACUCCCACAUUAGAUUUUUGAAGGUCAGCCGGGAACUUCUAGUCACGCACAUCCGCAACAUUCAGUGUCUGGUGGACAACUUGUUGAAGAAUGACUACUUCUCAGUAGAGGACGCAGAGAUCGUGUGUGCCUGCCCCACCCAACCUGACAAGGUUCGAAAAAUUCUGGACUUGGUACAGAGCAAGGGCGAGGAGGUGUCCGAGUUCUUCCUCUAUGUGCUCCAGCAACUUGCAGAUGCUUAUGUGGACCUCAGGCCAUGGCUGUUGGAGAUUGGCUUUUCCCCUUCACAGCUCAUUCAGAGCAGAAGUAUUGUCAACACUGACCCAGUGAGUCGGUACACCCAGAAGCUGCGACACCAGCUGGGCUGCGACUCCAAGUUCAUGCUGUGCUAUGCGCAGAAGGAGGAGCUGCUGCUGGAGGAGACGUACACGGACACCGUCAUGGAGCUGGUGGGCUUCAGCAACGAGAGCCUGGGCAGCCUGGGCAGCCUGGCCUGCCUGCUGGACCCCAGCUUGGGGGUCCUCAAUGAGCACGGUGAGACCGUGUUCGUGUGUGGUGACGCGGGCGUGGGCAAGUCCAUGCUGCUGCAGCGGCUGCAGAGCCUCUGGGCCUCGGGCCGGCUGGGCGCGGAAAUCAAGUUCUUCUUCCACUUCCGCUGCCGCAUGUUUAGCUGCUUCAAGGACAGUGACACGCUGAGCCUGCAGGACCUGCUCUUCAAGCACUUCUGCUACCCGGAGCAGGACCCUGACGAGGUGUUCGCCUUCCUGCUGCGCUUUCCCCAGGCGGCGCUCUUCACCUUCGACGGCCUGGACGAGCUGCACUCGGACUUCGACCUGAGCCGCGUGCCGGACACCUGCUGCCCCUGGGAGCCCGCCCACCCGCUGGUCCUGCUGGCCAACCUGCUCAGUGGGCGGCUGCUCCGGGGCGCGCGCAAGUUGCUCACUGCGCGCACGGGCGUCGAGGUGCCACGCCAGCUCCUGCGCAAGAAGGUGCUUCUCCGGGGCUUUUCGCCCAGCCACCUGCGCACCUAUGCCCGGAGGAUGUUCCCCGAGCGAGCCGUGCAGGCCCGCCUGCUACAGCAGCUAGAGGCCAACCCCAACCUCUGUGGCCUGUGCGCCGUGCCGCUCUUCUGCUGGAUCAUCUUCCGCUGCUUCCAGCACUUCCACUCCCCCUUCGAGGGCUCCCCGCAGAGGCCCGACUGCACCAUGACCCUGACCGACGUCUUCCUGCUGGUCACCGAGGUCCACUUGAACAGGACGCAGCCCCGUAGCCUGGUGCAGCGCAACACGCGAAGCACGGCCGAGACGUUCCGCGCAGGCCUGCGCACGCUGCGCUCGCUGGGCCGGGUGGCCCGCGGCGGCAUGGAACAGAACCUCUUCGUGUUCUGCAGUGAUGAGGUGGAGGCCUCCGGGCUGCGGGAGCAGGACCUGGCGCUCGGCUUCCUGCGGACCGUGCCCGUGCUGGGCCCCUAUGAGGGGCAGCAGUCCUACGAGUUUUUCCACAUCACCCUGCAGGCCUUCUUUACGGCCUUCUUUCUCGUGGUGGACGACAAGGUGGGCAUGCAGGAGCUGCUCCGGUUCUUCCGAGAGUGGACACCUCCAGGGGAGGCCGCAGCCGCGUCCUGCCUGCCUUCCUUGCUCCCUUUCCAGCGCUGGCGGGGCGGCCGCCCAGCGGGCUCCGACCUGUUCAAGAACAAGGACCAUUUUCAGUUCACCAACCUCUUCCUGUGCGGGCUGCUGUCCAAGGCCAGGCAGGAGCUGCUGUGGCACCUGGUGCCGGCCGCCACCCUGAGGAGGAAGCGCCGGGUGCUGUGGGCGCACCUGUGUGCCAGCUUGCGGGCCUACCUGAAGAGCCUGCCCCGGGUGCGCAACGAGGCCUUCAACCAGGUGCAGGCCAUGCCCACCUUCCUGUGGAUGCUGCGCUGCAUCUACGAGACGCAGAGCCAGAAGGUGGCGCGCCUGGCGGCCCGCGGCGUCUGCUCCGACUACCUCAAGCUGAGUUUCUGCAACGCCUGCUCUGCCGACUGCAGCGCCCUCUCCUUCGUCCUCCACCACCUCCACAAGCGCCUGGCCCUCGACCUGGACAACAACAAUCUCAAUGACUACGGCGUGCGCGAGCUGCAGCCCUGCCUCAGCCGCCUUGUCGUCCUCAGACUCAGCGUCAACCAGAUCACUGACAAUGGGGUAAAGGCGCUGUGUGAAGAACUGACCAAGUACAAGAUUUUGACAUUUUUGGGUUUAUACAGCAACCAGAUCACUGAUGUCGGAGCCAGGUACGUCGCCCGGAUCCUAGAGGAAUGCAAAGGCCUCACCCACCUUAAGGCCAGGCUGGUCCCAUGGAGGAGCCCUGUGUGUGGAAGACUGGGAAAAAACAAAAUAACGAGCGAAGGCGGCAAGUGUCUCGCCUUGGCGGUGAAGAACAGCACAUGGAUCUCUGACCUUGGGAUGUGGGGCAAUAAGAUCGGGGACGAAGGAGCAAAAGCCUUCGCAGAGGCGUUGAGGAACCACCCCAGUCUGACCUUCCUGAGGCUAACCCAAAAUGAACUCAAUGAUGAAGUGGCAGAGAGCUUCGCAGAAAUGCUGAAAGUCAAUCAGACAUUGAAGCACUUAUGGCUUAUCCAGAAUCAGAUCACAGCCAAAGGGACUACCCAGCUGGCAGAGGCACUCCGGGAGAACACUGGCAUAACGGAGAUUUGGUAAGGCCACCCACGACUGGGCAGAGUGACAAGGACAGUGAUGCCAACUCAGCACUCUCACUGUGUGCCAGGCCCUGGGCAGGGCAGUUAGUAUUUAUUCAUCCAGUACUCUGUAGUGUGGUGGUGUACAGAUGUAGAAACUGAGGCCCAUGAGUAAAAUGUGCCCAGGUUCACACAUAGAGGAGUAAACUGAGCCCAGCUUGAUGUCAUGGUUUGUGCUGUCCUGUCCUGCGCCUGUCCUUGCCCCACUUCAUGGGCCUGUCCCCGGGAAGCACCUGGGACACUAAGCCUGAGAGUGGCCAGGCUGGCCAGGAGUUUGGAGCUUGUGCUUCCCUUUUUCUGGACAUUCUGGGAUUCAGGAGACUUCCAGGCUGCAAUUGAGCCAUCAUAUGUUCUUUCUCUCCUCUGCUUUGAGAGCUUGAUAAUUCUAAUGGAAGAAAAGCCAUCCUUUGCUUUAGGAUGAUGUGGAACUCACUCCCCUUCUUUUGUGCCUCAGAAGACCCCCUUCCCCCGUGCACACACAUGCACACAGCAUCCCCUUUGGUGACUAAAUGGCCUGACUGAGGGGCCGGAGGGACUUGUAGAAUAUGCAUUACAUUCCAGGAGCCGUGGGUCACCACACCUGUGCACCUGCUUUAUGCCAGGCACCGUGGGCAGCAGGGCUGGGGCAAGUGCAGUAAUUAAUGUGACUCAAGGGGCCCUCACUGCUGAAGAGCACUACCUGAGCCGAGGAGAGAGGUCAAGUGGCUAGACUCCUAAAUGCUCUGAAAUGUGUUCUCAACCUCUGAAGUGAGAGCCCCUCCUGGUGUGAAGCUCAGGCCCCACAAGUGGCAGGGAGUAGAGCAGGUGUCUGUGGAGGGCACAGACUGUAGAGUUCAUUUGCCCACUGUGGCUUCUCUGAGCCCUGUGAGCAGCCUUACCUCCGCUCAGGGGCAGUUACCAUUAACUACUUUCUCCCUUCUUGACUUUCAUAGCCAAAAAAAAUGCAGUCCUUGCCUCCUCAAAUAGUGUUUCUUCUAGAACUCUUUAGAGAUCAUGAAAUAAGUCUGGUGGAUUACAGCCAACAUUAUUUUAAAAUGAAAUAGACAAAGACAGAACACCGGUUGCAGCCUGCAAAGGAGGGAGAAGUAUUAUUCAUUAGUCUUAUUCCAGGCACAUGUGCAGGGGUGUAGAACACACCUGUUUCAGCAUAAAAUGUGAUUCUUAUGUGAAGAUGCAGUCAAAACUUUUUUGAAAAAUGCUGUCACAGAGAUCCAACAAGACAACACUGAUAUUUGUGCAGUGGCUCCUCAGACAGGAAGGUGCUGGAGAGCAGGGUUUAUCUGCCCAAAUCUCUAGCUACCCUCACAGUGACCCUGCCUCGGGCCAUUCCAUUUCCUGCUGACUUGGAGAUUUGAGAACAGGCAGUGGGCAGCUGAAAGAGGCCAGCCAGAUUUCAGAACAGGGUGCAGACCACAGUUGGCUUGCACGGUGCUCCCAUGCUAAAAGAACAGUUGUCUGGAUCUGUAGCUGCUUUCAUUUUGUCAGGCCUGAAACGAUUUGUGUGCUCCUUCCUGAGGGCCACUGUUCCUGCAGCUAGGACCUACUUGAGCAGGGACAGGUGUCCUUACCUUCGAGGCGUGCUUUCCACAGUCUGCAGGAGGUACUUGUGUCAGGUGGCUAGGGGCUCCGCCACUGAUUCUGAGGGGGCAGGACAGCUGGCUCAGGUGCUGGCCUUGAGGCAUCUUCAUUUCAGCUCCUGUCUUGUCCUGAGAGCUGCCAAAGGAUGUUCCUGUGUGUGACUUCAUGAGACUGGACUCUGAGAGGGUUCUGACCCUGUCCAGGGGCUGCUGCACUAGGCUACAGCACUGUGGCAAGGCUGGCAGGAGAACAGCUGCUGGAGGCCAUAGCUGACAUGGACAGAGCACCUUCUUGAACUCAUUUUCUGCAGGCACUGAUUUCUACCUCAUUCUUCUCCAAAGAGAAGUCCCUUGUCUAAAUGGAAAUUUGAUA